rnacentral:rRNA from 1 species
AUUGAACGCUGGCGGCAGGCCUAACACAUGCAAGUCGAACGAGUGGCGGACGGGUGAGUAAUGUCUGGGAAACUGCCCGAUGGAGGGGGAUAACUACUGGAAACGGUAGCUAAUACCGCAUACCAUCGGAUGUGCCCAGGUGGGAUUAGCUAGUAGGUGGGGUAACGGCUCACCUAGGCGACGAUCCCUAGCUGGUCUGAGAGGAUGACCGGCCACACGGGACCUGAGACCCGGUCCAGACCCCUACGGGGGGCAGCGGGGGGGAUUAUUGCACAAUGGGGGCAAGCCUGAUGCAGCCAUGCCGCGUGUAUGAAGAGGGCUUUGGGGUUGUAAAGUAUUUUCAGCGAGGAGGCGUUCCUCGCAGAAGAAGCACCGGCUACCUCCGUGCCAGCAGCCGCGGUAAUU